UGUAACUAUGUGUUUACUGUUUGACAUAGUAAAUUCUGACCACCUGCAUCAAUGCGUCAAUGUCAUCUCUCUUCCACUAAUAUAUAUACAUGCAUAACUUACAUACGCACACAACUUACGUCUUGAAUUUUUUAAUAUUUCAUUUGUAGAGGAAAACAUCUGUGUUUGUGCGCUUGGUAUUGACAGGAAACAAACAUGUUCCAGAGAUGAAGAGAAAGAACUCCAGCAACACACCGCUCCUCACGCUAUGAGGAGAUGUGAAGUUGGGCACACGUCAGUGAAGCAACAAGAUACAUCAGCAGUCAUCUUGAGCUGGAGUCAAACAUAUUAAAUCAAGGAGGACUCCAGCAACACUUGACUGUGCUCUGCACAGCUAAGCCACACUACGAUGAACACACCUGACAACUGUCUGGACCUGUACCUGAACCAAAGCCACAUGGGCCAAGGGACAGGAACAGGCAGUGCAGCUAAGUGUCUUUAGGUUAUGACCAAAUGUGAAGUUGGAAACACACGUCAAUGAAGCAGUGCCGUGCUGACAAAAUACAUCAGCAGUCAGUGGUUGAGCUGGAUUCAGACAUAUUGAGGACUCCAUCAACACUUAGCACCUGACAACUGUCUGGACCUGUACCUG